GACGUAGGGCGCGAGCGUUGUCCGGAUUUAUUGGGCGUAAAGAGCUCGUAGGCGGCUUGUUGCGUCGACCGUGAAAACCCGGGGCUCAACUUCGGGCUUGCGGUCGAUACGGGCGGGCUAGAGUUCGGUAGGGGAGACUGGAAUUCCUGGUGUAGCGGUGAAAUGCGCAGAUAUCGGGAAGAACACCCGUGGCGAAGGCGGUUCUCUGGGACGGUACUGACGCUGAGACGCGAAAGCGUGGGGAGCGAACAGGAUAGAU
rnacentral:rRNA from 1 species